UGAUACCCUUGCUUACCCUGAUUCUGUAUUAAGGUUGUUACUUUUGGGGUAUAUACCCAGUUCUAAAUAAUAUCCGUUUUAUACAUCUACCCGUCGGAGGCUCAGGUAUCUGGAUCCAACACCCCUCAUAGUGACGACAUCUGGAUUUGAAGACAAUCUGGUUGCCGUCACCUCGAUAGAAGUUUCGGCCUCAUUCAAAACAAUUGUCCAUCUUCUCCGACGUCGUUGCUUCGGGGAAAUCAACGACCUGUCGAGUUCAUAAAUCACCGAUGGAUGUAGCAGAGCCCUGAAUUCAGUGCAUUGUUGUAAAGCUAGUUGUGAUUUCAUUUGUUUCAAGCAAGUUUUGCGAUCUCAACCUUCUAUUUUACGAUGUUGUUUGAAAAACCAUGUUCAGCCUUCGAAUGCCGAAGGAGUGCAGUAGUUGUGCAUGGUGGAACAGAAUGGGAUGCAUUUUUUGGCCCCUGUGUGGAGGAGUUUGUGGAUUGCUCACGGAGCUUAACUUCUUAAACCCCGCACUUGAAACCUUGAUGCACAGAUUCUGUUUCGACAGUCCAGGAAAAACUGAAAUGAGCAUCGAAGUGGCGACUCGCAGACUUUGACUGAAGCCCUAAAUUCGUUGUAACCGCUCUCCCUUGAAACGAAAUCGGUGAUCCCCGCUCGCCACCUCGGAUCCAGCCCGCUUUCGCCACGCUCUCACCGUAUCCAUGUCAUCGUUAUCGGAUCUUCUCCAGAGCACGAUAAAGCUGUGAGUCCUGAUGAUUUUUUUAUGCGGCACUGUGACGAUCAUUGCUAUUGGAAGCCAUUGUGGUGAGCAGGAUGCACGUCCGAGACUCCAAUCAUGCAGGUAAUGCAAGUGCGUACUGUUUGUGAGUAAUUACAUACAGAUGCGCUAGGGACGACUCCCGUUUCUGUGGGAAAAUGUUCCACUUUCUUCGUUGGGUCAUACGUUUGCUUCUGGAUAGCUUUGUUGCAAUUAGUUAGAGAAUGUGAUGAAGCACGAUCUCUGGAUGUUUGCAUAGUUAAGGUGAUAUGCCAAAAUCGGGAAUUAAUAUUUUAUUGGAUCUGUUUAUGUUCAACAUCCUUUGACGCGUGAUUCGUUGCUUGCGCUGCGAACUUAAGUGAUGUGAGCUUUAACACAUAUGAAUAUUACUAUAGCACACCUGACGAUAGAAAAUUGGUAACUGCGUUUGGUUGUAAGCUAUCACGAAUGGAUUUGCUUCGGACUUGCACUAUUUGCUAACAUCUUCGCAAGAAAUAUAGUACGCGGGGUUACAAAUGAACAUUUUGUGAUGGCAUUGUUUAAACCCAAGAACACAAUGCAUUGUAUCGGAGUAUGAACAUGAAGUUGCUCCGCAAAAUGUGUUUCAGUGGUGGGCGUUAAUACCUCUUAGAGUCUCUGACAAAUACUUUCGUAAGGUGCAACAGUGAGAUGAUUAAUGGAACUAAACAUUUACGAGGGUAUAAGCACGACAAUUCAUUACCAAGUUUAUGUCUUGGGCCUGGAAUGAACUUUACUUCUGGGCAUUGAACGGUGAAACGCACGUGAGUCAAGGUUGCUGCUUCGUACAACCGCAUAGGCACCGACCGGAAAAAAGAUUUGAAAAAGGAUGUCAUGUGUAUGCAGUUGUGGUUGCAUAAGAAUUAUUGCAGAUUAGCAGAUCCUAUUGCGAUCACAAUUAUGGAAAGCUAACUCACAGUCUGUGCAACAAGUUUUUCGCAUGUUUUAGGAUGAUGUACAGUUUCGUCGGCUUGUCUGUCUGUGUGAUGAUUGUUGGAGCUCCUACGUAUGACGCACUAAAUGCUGUAUGAGAUUCAAUGUCUUUCAGACGGGUAGGAACUAACUUCGGUGCUGGCAUUUGGCCUCUGAACCGAUGAUUAAAAAGACGAUCUCAACAAAUUGUUAAUGCGUAGAUCAGGAGCAUUAAAUGGCUACACCAGUGAGCUCAUUCAACGUUAAAUCCAAGUACAACAAAUUCAGAAAAUGCGAGAGUCAAAGGCAUCUGGUUUGAGUUAAUUCAGGAGUGCAAAAAUUAAAGUGAUUGGAUCGAGUGAAUUAGAUAAAUACGUUAUGAUGAAUAUUUGUGGGUGCUGGUCUUGCUCUGAAAUUUUAACUGCGUUGUCACAAGUUAACCUGGGCAUCGAGGAGCUUUGGAGAAAGAAAGAGGAGAUCAAGAAAGCCAUGCAACUUGAGGAGGAUGAGAAGGAAUACAUCCAGAGGGAAUUAUUGGUGCUCACAAAUCACUUGAUUGUGAUUGACGAGUCUGUGUCUCGAAAGUAUGCGUAUGUGGAAGAAAACAAUAAAACCAUUGAGGAGGUUGAAGCAGAUUAUUGUAAAAUCUCAAAACAGUUGCAAGCUUUUUUACAUUUAGAGGUUGAUUAAGAAAAUUUGAUGGAAUAUAAGCAAUUGUUUUAAAAUACAAUAAUUAAAAAAGAUGCAUUAUGAUAUAACAAUGAUUAUCAAUGUUAUCUCUAAUAUGUGGCAAGUUCUUCAAUCACAAGAAACAUAAAUUUGGUUCCAAAAAUAAUUCUUCAAUAACUUCCAUCAACUUCACAAAUUCAUUGCAAAACAAAUUGAUGACAAUACAUACAAAUAAUGAGUUUUUAAUGUUAUGGUAUAAUAUCCAAUGAAUAAAGUACAAGCAUCAAAAAUCAAAUCAAAGGUCAAAAAAAAAUAAAACAAAACAAACAAACAAGGAUUAUAUCAUAAUUAUCUACAAAAUGUGGAUUAUAAAUAACAAAGUUUUUAGCAAUCCAUUUGAGAGGAGUGGCAAAGUUGGCAUUGCACUAGACAUCUUUGUUUUCUUUUUUAAUAUCAAUUUGAUUUUUUUCUGAUUAUUUUUUAUUAUUCAAUAUACAUAAAUUGGGAUUCAACUUUUAAAAUGCAUAAAUUUCUAAAUAUGUGUAUAACAAGUGGUUUUUUGUUGAAUUUUAUUUAACAAGACAAUUUUUUAAGAUUGUUUUAUAAUAUAUAUGUACACCUAGUCAAAGUACUUACUUGCAAAUCAAUCUUAUAAUAUAAAAUUGUAAAUUAAUUGACAUAUUUAAUGUAGUCUCUUAAGAAAAUUAUGCAAUGAAAGUUUGUAAUAUACCAAUUUAUUUGAUGUAGCAUUAUAAAAGAACCUCACAAUAUAAAUUUAAUAUCAUCUAAGUUGCAUGACACAUCUCUACAAAGUAGGGCAUCAAUUUAAAAUCACAAACAACAAAACUGCUUGCUUGCAAAUGCAAUUUCAUAAGACAAUCUUAUAAUGGAAAUUUACAACCAUAUUGCUUAACAAAAUACCAUACAACAUAGUUGCAAUAAAAACUUACAAUUAGCCAAAUUACAUGCAAAUAAACUCUAUAAGAAAAUCCAAUUACACGUAUUGCCAAAAGGUUUAGAAGUGGUGAAAUAAUACAAUCUUGCAAAACAUCCUUUUGAAACAUAUUGGUAUAAUUUACACUAUUGCUCAAAUAUUGUAGCUCCAAAAAAAAACCCUAUAAUUAAAUUUCUUAAAUUUUUAUAUUUCUUGAUUUAUGAC